GCCCCAGAUGGCUUACACAUGGGCCUUGAGGGAGAGACUGAGGGGACACUCGGUCCCUUCCUGCCAUCCCGUGAUAGGUGUCCUCACGCACAGUGAGGCUGUAGGAGGCUGCCCCUGCCUGGAAGGAAGGGCAAAGUCUGCUUCCUGUGCUGUCCUUGGUGUACCCCACCAUGGAAGCAGGGUCAGGCCUCAGGGCAGCCCUCAUACCAAGCUCCCCUAAGUGGCACUUCUGAGUCUCCUCCCAAGCCAGAUGGCCUCAGCCUCUUUCCCUCCUCUCUGAACACAGAGGCAGGCGCUUGCAGGGAUGGACCAGGGUACACCAGUGACAUGUCUAAGAACUUCAUGGAAAGGACUGACUCUAGGUGCCCAGGGACUCUGCCAGGCUCUCGCCAGGUCCUCCUCCCCAUGUCCCCUGGAACUUGUUUGUUCAACUCAGGUUCCGGUCUGGGAGCCUGGCUUCCCAAGGACCUUGAGGCCAGAGCCACUUCCAUUGUAUGUGUAGUUGGGUAGGGGAAAAAAAAAAAUUAAUGAAAGGAAAAGAAAGUCAAAGUGGUCACAAGCCUUCCACAUUCACAAAAGCUUACAGUUCAUAAUGGAAUCUUUUUUUGGCCCAGAGCCCCGAAAAGCCCCAAUGGAGACAUCACCAAGAACUCAGGGAAACCUUUCCCCAGGGCGGUCCCAAGCAUGGCCCCACCCCCUAGCCACCCAGGCCCUGCCUGCCAGCUCUGAACCCCACACUGUGAUGCCCAUUAGAGUAGGCAGGGUCCUUCCCCAGCUCUUCUCAGCCACGUGCUCAGGGUGGGGCACAACACAGAGGACAGAGGGAUAGAGAGACAGAGGGGAGCACAGGGCUGGCUGCUGGGAAGCUUGAGGAGGCAUCCUAUCCCUGCUGGGUUUCUCUGUGUACCUUUGCAGCCUGUCCUGGAACUCACAGAGACCCGCCUGCCUCUGCCUCCUGAGUGCUGGGAUUAAAGGCAUGCGCCACCAAUGCCCGGCUGUCUGAUGAUAAAUGCAAUGCUUGAGAAUCACGGUCAAGCGGAGCGCAGUCUGCUGGCCUAAUGCACCUCCAAGCAGGAAGGGGAGACAGGAUAGGACCACCGAGGGGUCACCCUCCCAAGCCUCCGUGUUGCACUGGGAUACUAGCCGCUGUCACGCAGCUUUUGUCAGGGCAGGAACACAGCAAGGUGUCUGGAGGCUGGGGCCAUCGAGGGACACUCUGUACAAGCUGUUCCACUCAGGGUGUCUGGAGGCUGGGGCCAGCGAGGGACACUCUGUACAAGCUGUUCCGCUCAGGGUGUCUGGAGGCUGGGGCCAGCGAGGGACACUCUGUACAAGCAUGGACACUGUAUCUGAGCCAGAUCUGCAGGUGGUGACAGCCUGGCUUCGGGCCUUCUUUACAGGCGUGCCCUAGGAGCCCACUGGCUCCUGUAUGCAUCUCAGUCUUCCCAGGGGCUCCGUAGAGCACGGAGCACUUGGCCAUCUUAGGCUUGAUGCAGUAGGUCUGUCCUUCUGCCCCAGGACCCCACUUGGAGCACUGGGGAAUUGCUACUGGGUGCUGCAGGCCAGCACUGAUUGGAUUGGAUCUGAACAAUCCCUAAAGGCAACGUGAAAGAAAUAACCCUCUCUCCUCUCCUAUCCCGUGGCUGGAGAGGCAGGCACUAUGUGGAGUCGGGAGAAGCCUGAAGAGCCCGUGAGCUGGUACAAGCUGAGCAGUGGUCCCGGGGAGCCCUUCUGGGUGAUGGAAGACAGGCCAUCCACACAGGUUGUGAGGCAGUGGUGCCUCUUCAGAUUCGGGAGAUUCACAGACACUCUGGCUGCCUGGGUAGAUACAUGAAGAUCACCGGUGCCAGUUUCAGUACAAGGCCAGAGUGGGGGACAAAAUCACAAGCUCUCAACUCUGUCCUUUUUCAAGAGAAAAAGCCUGCAUUUCUAUAGCAGAGUGACUUCAUUGUGGCCUAAGAACCCGAGCCUGUCAGGACAGGUAGUCUCUGUGAGGCUCCUCACUGUCCUCACAGCAGUCCCUUUGUGGGGCAGGAGAGAUGGUGGCCUCCUGCCAGUCUCCUGGAUACUUGAGGACACCAGUAGUCCAUCAUGACGUUCCCAAGCCUUGGUUUGGGGAUAUCAGGUCACCUGAAGACGGGUGGGUGGGAAGGGGACUAACGGGACUUUGUACAUGAGUGUCCUCCACUCCUGUUUCCGCCUUCUUCAUUCAGAGGCAUCCAGAGCUCUAGGGUGGGGCCAUCAGGUGACUCUCAGAUGCAAGUCAUAUUCAGGGGCUUGGUAGGACAAGUGAAGAGCAGCAUCAUUUUAAAUGCUAGAAAAUGUACUGAAUGAAUGAAUGAAUGAAUGAACGAACGAACGAACAAACAAACAAAC
ensembl:lncRNA